rnacentral:tRNA from 1 species
GGUUUGUGGCUCAGUGGUAUAGCGCUUGCCUAGCACCAUGAGGUACUGGGUUCAAUCCCUAGCACCA